UACGGGAGGCAGCAGUGGGGAAUAUUGCACAAUGGGCGCAAGCCUGAUGCAGCCAUGCCGCGUGUAUGAAGAAGGCCUUCGGGUUGUAAAGUACUUUCAGUCGUGAGGAAGGUGUUAAGGUUAAUAACCUUAGCAAUUGACGUUAGCGACAGAAGAAGCACCGGCUAACUCCGUGCCAGCAGCCGCGGCAAUACGGAGGGUGCGAGCGUUAAUCGGAAUUACUGGGCGUAAAGGGCACGCAGGCGGUUAAUUAAGUUGGAUGUGAAAUCCCCGGGCUUAACCUGGGAAUGGCAUUCAAGACUGGUUAGCUAGAGUCUUGUAGAGGGGGUAGAAUUCCGAUGUGUAGCGGUGAAAUGCGUAGAGAUGUGGAGGAAUACCGGUGGCGAAGGCGGCCCCUGGGACAAAGACUGACGCUCAUGUGCGAAAGCGUGGGGAGCAAACAGGAUUAGGAUACC
rnacentral:rRNA from 1 species